UACGGAGGGUGCAAGCGUUGUCCGGAAUCACUGGGCGUAAAGGGCGCGUAGGCGGCUCGGUAAGUAGGGGGUGAAAUCCCGCGGCUUAACCGCAGGGCUGCCUUCUAAACUGUCGAGCUUGAGCACGGUAGAGGCAGAUGGAAUUCCCGGUGUAGCGGUGGAAUGCGUAGAUAUCGGAAGGAACAUCAGUGGCGAAAGCGACUUCCUGGACCAAUACUGACGCUCAUGUGCGAAAGCGUGGGGAGCAAACAGG
rnacentral:rRNA from 1 species